rnacentral:lncRNA from 1 species
AUAAAGUUUAAUAAACAAAGGACCUGAGUUACAGGUCCUUUCCCAUGCAGGGCCCCUGUGAGAGCCUGGGUUGCUAAGAGUGAUAGAGUUCCAGGUGGAGAGAGGAAGCCGGGUUACAAUCAGGAAACAUUUCUAUGUCAGCAUUUCGGGUAAAUUGCUUAAAGCGAUCUCAGAAGAAAAGGAACUAAUUCUCCAGCACUCCUGUAAUUUGUCAUGAUAUAAUUUCUCAUUCUAAGUAAAUAUUCGCUUUCAUGCCUAAUUUUCUAUUUGCAAUUUUGCAUUCUUCUUCUUAAAGAGGGCUCCCAUAAUUGUAUAAGCCUCAUGCCUCACAAAACCUGAAGGUGCCUUUGGUGAGGUGGAUCAUCAGAAUACCAGCUGAGCACCUCGAAGUGUGAAAUCUAGCAUUGGAUUCCAUCCCUGACUUUUCCUAAGAAUCACUGUGAAUGCGCUGGACAAACUGCUGCUGCGCCGGGUGCUCCCUGUGUCAUCACACUUCCUCAUUGUACUUCUGGGUCCUCCGAAGCUGUUCCCAGUGCUUAAUCAUAAGAAAAGCAGCUCCAAAUACUAGUUCAGAAACUCAGGUAGAAAGAGAUCUUAAAGGUCAUGUCCAGUCACUCUUCUGAUGCUUGGGUCUUCUCUUCAGGAGGCAUCUGGGCCUGGGCUUGGACCCCUUGCCUCAGUCAACCUAUUAGAAAGGUCUUUUCUUGUCUUGAGUCAAAACCAGUCCACUGCUACUGGCAUUGCUCUGUACUUCCAGGCUCUAUGAAAAGUGUCUAACCUUUCAGAUGAGUAUGGCAGAGGAAAGCGAGAAGAAAGAAAUUUUAGUUGUUCUUCAACUUCCCAAUUAGGCACGCCGUUAGGGGUUUUUAAUAUGGUGCUUGAUUUAAUCUUCUCAUUAACUUUCUGUUGUAAGUAUUAUUAUUUUAUUCUAGGGGUCCCAGAUGUAGCAAAUAAAAAUAGAGGAUGUCCAGUUAUACCUGAAUUUCAGAUCAAAACAAAUGAUUUUUAAAAAAACGUACACUCCCAAAAGUGUGAAAUUAAUUUGUCCUUGGACAGGAGAUAUGGAAAUGUCAUGUAUUUUACCUGGAAAUCCUGUUACUGUGCCCAUUUUUGGAGCUGAGAAAACUAAAGGGCGGAGCCUACUAGCUAAGAGAAGACAAUCUCCAGGAAACUACUGCUUCAUUUAUUUGACACUGGGCAGAAGUUUCGGUGAGAAAUCAGCAAGAUCAUAGCCUGGAGUGAACACUGGAGGCAGGAGAUGUCCUUGAGAAAGAGGCUACAACAGAGGGUGGAACACCUCUUCCAUUAAAGCGGCUGUUUUCCAGAGUUUCUGAAAAGCUCCCUCCUUUGUCAUGGUGGUGGUGGGGAAGGGCAGGCUGGGACCCUAAUGCAUGACUUUCCACCUGGGUGUUACUGGCAUCUGAUGUCCUAAUCAUAUUUCCCUGUCACCUCUCAGUGCUGAUUUACUUUCUCCUCCCAUUCUACAUGCUGCAGAACUAAUUGCCUGCCUAAUUGCCAAAACUAAUUGCUGUGACAUUCAUUGUUCAUCUGCUCCUUUCUCCGGCUUCAGCUCAGGCAGGUGGCUCCCAUGAAGGCAAGGGUGGAAUUAUUCCUGCUUUGGGGCCAGGAUGCUUCAGAGUGAUGGCCCAACAAUUAUCUUCCUCAUGGAGGCGGACCAAGGAAUCACCUUCCUCACUGAACAGAGGACAAUAAUUCUUGGCAGGGGUUCACCUUCUUCUGGUGUGAGAUUGGGUAGCUUUGACAGAUUGUAAGUCAAUUAAAUUGUACUUUUCAGGGAGUUCCUCUCUCCCAUUUAGAGAUUAGGAUUAGAUUUGUUCAUUAGGAAAUUGACCCAGAGAAGUGAGACAGCUACUUGCUGGCCACAUAGCUCAUUCAUGGCGAAGUUGAAACUGGGGCUCAGAUAUCCCAAUUCAUAGCCCAGAAUAAUUUCUACUGCACCACACCACAACUGUUGCAGUUG